UACAUAGCUUAAUGAGGGGAACUCAGGGAACUGAAACAUCUAAGUACCUGAAGGAAGAGAAAGAAAUUCGAUUCCGUAAGUAGCGGCGAGCGAACGCGGAUUAGCCCAAACCAAUAAAGUUUUCUUUAUUGGGGUUGCGGACAUAUCAUAACGAAGAGGUAUCGUAAUUGAAGAGGUUUGGAAAGACCCACCACAGAAGGUAAUAGUCCUGUAUGUUAAACGAGAAGACUUUAGAUAUGAUCCAGAGUACCACGGGACACGUGAAACCCUGUGGGAAGCAGGAGGGACCACCCUCCAAGGCUAAAUACUACCUAGUGACCGAUAGCGUAUAGUACCGUGAGGGAAAGGUGAAAAGAACCCCGGGAGGGGAGUGAAAUAGAACCUGAAACCCUGAACUUGAAAGCUGUGGAAGCACAUUUCGUGUAUGACCGCGUACUUGUUGUAGAACGGACCAACGAGGUACGUGAAGUAGCAAGGUUAAGCACUUAAGGUGUGGAGCCGUAGCGAAAGGGAGUGUUAACUGAGCGUACAGGUAAUGGACGUAGACCCGAAACAGGGCGACAUACCCAUGCGCAGGAUGAAGCGAAAGUAAAAUUUCGUGGAGGUCCGAACCCACGAACGUUGAAAAGCUCGGGGAUGACUGGUGGGUAGCGGUGAAAUUCCAAUCGAGCCCGGAGAUAGCUGGUUCUCCCCGAAAUAGCUUUAGGGCUAGCCUCAAGGUGAGAGAUACGGA
rnacentral:rRNA from 1 species